rnacentral:rRNA from 1 species
UUCGCAAUGCCCGAAAGGGUGACGAAGCGACGCCGCGUGCGGGAAGAAGGCCUUCGGGUUGUAAACCGCUGUCGGGAGUUAAGAAAUGCAAGGGUGUUAAUAGUAUCCUUGCUUGACUAAGGCUCCGGAGGAAGCCACGGCUAACUCUGUGCCAGCAGCCGCGGUAAUACAGAGGCGGCAAGCGUUGUUCGGAAUUAUUGGGCGUAAAGAGCACGUAGGCGGCUGUGUAAGUCGGUUGUGAAAGCCUUCCGCUCAACGGGAGAACGGCAUCCGAUACUGCAUGGCUUGAGUGCGGGAGGGGAGAGUGGAACUUCUGGUGGAGCGGUGAAAUGCGUAGAUAUCAGAAGGAACACCGGCGGCGAAGGCGACUCUCUGGCCCGUAACUGACGCUGAGUGUGCGAAAGCUAGGGGAUCAAACGGGAUUAGAUACCCCGGUAGUCCUAGCCGUAAACGAUGGGCACUAAGUAGAGGGGUUUU